GACGUAGGGGGCGAGCGUUAUCCGGAUUCACUGGGCGUAAAGGGCGCGCAGGCGGCUACGUCAGUCCGGCGUGAAAUCCCACGGCUCAACUGUGGAACUGCGUCGGAUACUGCGUUGGCUUGAGGAUGGUAGAGGCCAUUAGAACUAGCGGUGUAGCGGUGAAAUGCGCAGAUAUCGCUAGGAAUGCCGGUGGCGAAGGCGGAUGGCUGGGCCACUCCUGACGCUGAGGCGCGAAAGCUAGGGGAGCGAACCGG
rnacentral:rRNA from 1 species